rnacentral:lncRNA from 1 species
GUUUCGCCGAAGGCGCAGGUCCUCACCUGGCUGCGGCCGGACGCCAAACCAGAAAAACAAAUGCUGACGGAUGUUUCAAUUUUUUGCACAAUCGGUGACUUAAAUAGGACCUAGUCUGGGCGGGGAGACAGAAGGUGAGAAGGAGGCCCAGAGAGAAGAGCUGGGAGGAGUGGAGUUCUCUUUUGCUUACUUUCCCUCUCUCUGAGGUCUAGUUGCCUGUUUAUCAGCUAUAAACUUUUUCCCCUCCGAAAAACUUCAGCACUCUGUUUGAAAACUCCUCUUUCUUCCUUUUUCCAGUUCUCACUUCUUUUAAUAUUCUCUUGAUUUUCUUUGGUCUCCUGUUGAUGAUAUUUGUCUAUUUGCCUAAGGGAGAAUUCAACUAUAGUGCAAAUUUGAGCGUUAAGUACCUCCCCACCCCCACCCCUCCGCCCAGUUUAACUGGAUUUAGUUACACAAGGGGAUCAGAGAUUAUAUUGCUCAAGUUCUACUACUUUACACAUGAAAAGCUGGAGGGCCAGAAAAAGGAAGUAGUUUGCCCAGGAUGAGGAAGGAAGCUGAUGUCCUGCCCAAUUCUGGACUCUGGUGUGCCAAUCUGAUGGUCAUUUGUUAGGUAGCCCUAUUUUCAGGUGCCUCCUUGUUCUCCCCUGUGUGAGAGCUUCUCUGACUUUCUUGGCUGCUAUGUGUAAUUGGGCUCCUUUCCUCCACUGAGCCUCGGAGGUAUCAGACCCUGUGGACACUCUGAUGAACCAGACAUACUUGAGUGUCCCUGCCCUCUCAGUUGCAUGCAUUCUUGUACCCAUAUAGCCACUUUUCCAUCAGAUUAUAAACCUUCCAAGGUAGCAAGUCCAAAUCAUUCAUUUAUAUCUCCCUGCAAUCUUGUUUAAAACCACCAGGGAUGUGUUCUUGAAUGUUAAAUGUUAUCUUUAUUUGUAAGCCUGAAACCCAAAAAGUAGUUGCCCUUGAAAGCUCAUAGGUGAAAUUGCUUUUUAAUACCCAAACUACAAGGGCCAGUGUGUGGCCAACCUUUUAUGAGGUAGCCAGAAGAAAUAUAAAAAGUAGAAAAGAAACAUGCAAGGACAGGAAAACUAAACUUUAAAAGCCUUGGGCUAAAGUUCCUCAUACUUUCACUCCCCGAGUCAGUUCUUUUUUCCUAGCCUAUCACUUAUGUUUUCUGGAAAAUCUACAAGUCUUCAUUGACAAUCUUAAAGUUACUGGAAAUUCACUCACUCUUUAAAAUUGUCCUGUGCCCUAUUAAUUAGUCCACUAUUACAUGUAUUUUUAGAACAGAGAAAGGAAGAUAUGCAACCUAUAAUAAUGGGUCCUAUCCCACCAUUAUCUAUUGAUCAGGUAAUGGAGAAGACCUCAACUUAAGGAACUUGAGAAUAGCCAGACCACCAUAAACUGUCUUGUGAUCACCACCAGACUGAUGGCAUUCCCUCAUACCUUCCCAUGGCCGUCCCUCACCAAAUUUCCUUUAAAAAAGGAGACCAAGAACCCCCAAAGUCUCUCUUGCUGGUGAAAAAUGUAUUCCUUGCUUUCCUAAAUAAAUUUCUGUGACUCAAUAGCUGAA